rnacentral:rRNA from 1 species
UCUACGGGUGGCUGCAGUGGGGAAUAUUGGACAAUGGGCGAAAGCCUGAUCCAGCCAUGCCGCGUGUGUGAAGAAGGCCUUCGGGUUGUAAAGCACUUUCAGUGGGGAAGAAAGCCUUGGGGCUAAUACCCUCGAGGAAGGACAUCACCCACAGAAGAAGCACCGGCUAACUCCGUGCCAGCAGCCGCGGUAAUACGGAGGGUGCGAGCGUUAAUCGGAAUUACUGGGCGUAAAGCGCGCGUAGGCGGUCUGAUAAGCCGGUUGUGAAAGCCCCGGGCUCAACCUGGGAACGGCAUCCGGAACUGUCAGGCUAGAGUGCAGGAGAGGAAGGUAGAAUUCCCGGUGUAGCGGUGAAAUGCGUAGAGAUCGGGAGGAAUACCAGUGGCGAAGGCGGCCUUCUGGACUGACACUGACGCUGAGGUGCGAAAGCGUGGGUAGCAAACAGGAUUAGAUACCCGAGUAGUC